CGUAUUUAUAGCUGCUGGUAACGUAAGCGAUAACAGGAUCUAACAGUAAACUGUAACUAUAAAUUGAUAAAGAAUAGGAUGUCAUUCUUUAAUAAUGUUUUAGUUAAUGUCUAAAGUGUUUAGUUCACGUCUAAAGUGUUUAGUUAAUGUCUAAAGUGUUUUAGUUCACGUCUAAAGUGUUUAGUUAAUGUCUAAAGUGUUUAGUUCACGUCUAAAGUGUUUAGUUAAUGUCUAAAGUUGUUAGUUCACGUCUAAAGUGCUUAGUUAAUGUCUAAAGUGUUUAGUUCACAUAUAAAGUGUUGGAAUGGAAGCCUGGUGCUCUGUUCUCCUCGGGAACUCAGCAAUCACACUCAGGUCUGAGAGUGAAGUCUUCCAAGUGAGAAAGUGAUUCGAAUCGUCUCUUCUACAGGAAAUUAAUCAAUCGUGCCCUGUAUUUUGGGUUGCAGCAAUUUUUUUCCUGUUGCAGUAAUGACACGUAUUCUGGAGAUUUGGAGCAACGAUACAAAAAAAAAGACAAUAACUCUGGAUGUGAUGCAUAAAAUGUGUUAAACUAGUUAUUUAUAUAAUUGUGUUAGAGUUUCCUCAUUGUUCGCGCUUUGGUGAUUUUUGUGAUUUCUGCACAAUAAUUAAAGAAUUAUUUUUCCUUUUCCGGUUGCCAAAUUCUGCCCUAUGAAUUAUUAUUAUUAUUUUUUUUUUACACUUAUUACACUUAUUUUAAUGACAAUUUUGCACAAUCAAGAUAGAAAUAUCAACCCACACCUUAACAGCCAUCUUGAGAUACAUCCGAUCUAAAGACUUUAAUCACAGCGCAUUCAAGUGUAUACAAGUGUUAAUAGCUAAACAGUAACGAAAAGCCCGUUGACGUCCCCACAAAGUGACAAAUACAGGUGGAAAUUCAGGAUCCAGGAUUGUGUUUACUUCAUACUUUAUGUCUGUACUUUAUAGUAAAUGAAGGUAAUUCUUAAUAAUUAGUGUUGUUUUUGUAAUUAUAUUGAAAUCUGAUCCGAUGAAAUAUGCUUUGGAUCUUCUAAGAAUUAAAAAUCCAGUCGUAUAAACACGGUCACACCACUGACAGUCAAAUGUGUUGAGCCAGUAAUGAAUUUCCACAAAUUCUACAUUUUAUGUGAAGAGGAAGCACGUAAUAAACAGGAAACGCUCCACACAUAUCAGUUGUAAUAUUACUAAUUCAUAACUGUAUUAUUUUCACAAGACUGAAGAGGAAAGCUUCGCGGAUAUUUAACAUUGAUGCAGAACUUUUGUUGUGUCUGAUCUUUCAUUUCCGCCUAGAAAUUAGAAAAUGAAGAGUAUACCCGUGACGCUGAAGGAGAGAAAAAAAAGAAUCCUAUCAUAAUAAAUCUCUGACGGACAGGAAAUGAGCAGCUGGAGCGUCUCAAAAGGGCUGAAUUGAAAGACCCUGAAACACUAAAUCCCCAAAACGUUUCCCCACGAGGAUAAAAAUGGCCACUUGGGAUUAUUUGUAAAGAUUUUUCUGCUCUUCUGGAAGCUCCUUGCGCUCUCCUGUAAAAGCCCUGGAUCCUGGGAGUACUCAGAGUAAUCGGUUCCUUUUUUGUGCCUGCUUGGCCGUGUGUACAUCAGGCUGAGCCUGCUGGAGAUGGAAUAUUUCAUGCUCUGACACUCGGAUCUGCUGAACUAUGGAUUAUGGGAGAUCUGUGAUUGCCCUCCGUUGGUUGAUGUACCUGUGAAUCUAUUAUGGGUUCGUUACAAAUGAUGGGAGAAAGAAAAGAGCUCUGUGUAUUGUAAACUGUUAAACUGCCCAAUGUUCUUCCGAAAAAUCCUUCAGGUCCUACAUUUCACACUGAGGACAACUGAGGGACGCGUACACGACUAUUACAAAAGGUGCAAACAUUCACCGAUGCUCAUGAAGGCAACACGAUAUAUUAAGCGCGGGGUGGGGGUGUGGGGGUGUAAACUUUUGAGCAGGUGUAAAUUGUUACAAUUUUGUUUCAAGAUCUUGUUUUUUUUUCAUUUAGUAACACCCUCCCAAAGCUACAUAAGAUAUUCACAUGUUUCCCAGAAGACAAAUCAAUAACAGUUUAAACUUAUGAGUGCGACGGUAUUAACGCAUUGUCGUUUCUAUAGUAACUCAUUCACAGGGACUGCCGAGGUACGGUGGACCCUCUAUAUAAAUGGAUUAUUUUGUAAAAACUGUUGAUAUGGUGAAGUUUUCUGUAAGGAGAUUAUCGAGUUUAUUGAACAGGGGUGUAACGACACACUUUUCUCAGAAUUCUGAACAAAAUUUGAAUGCAGGAAAAUGAUGAGAAUGAUUCAAAUGUACUACAGGUUCA
ensembl:lncRNA